UACGUAGGGUGCGAGCGUUGUCCGGAAUUAUUGGGCGUAAAGGGCUCGUAGGCGGUUUGUCGCGUCGGGGAGUGAAAACACACAGCUUAACUGUGUGCUUGCUUCCGAUACGGGCAGACUAGAGGUAUGCAGGGGAGAACGGAAUUCCUGGUGUAGCGGUGAAAUGCGCAGAUAUCAGGAGGAACACCGGUGGCGAAGGCGGUUCUCUGGGCAUUACCUGACGCUGAGGAGCGAAAGUGUGGGGAGCGAACAGG
rnacentral:rRNA from 1 species